rnacentral:rRNA from 1 species
UAUGUGAUCGUCUCUCGCAUAUCAAUAAGCGGAGGAAAAGAAACUAACAAGGAUUCCCCUAGUAACGGCGAGUGAAGCGGGAAGAGCUCAAAUUUGAAAUCUUAAAGGGUUUCCCUUUACGAAUUGUAGUUUAAAGAAGUGUUUUCUGUUGAGGUUUUGGUAAAAGUUCUUUGGAAUAGGACAUCAUAGAGGGUGAGAAUCCCGUAUUUGACCUUUACUUUCAACUUCGUGAUACACUUUCAAAGAGUCGGAUUGUUUGGGAAUGCAGUCCAAAAUGGGUGGUAAAUUUCAUCUAAAGCUAAAUAUUGGCGAGAGACCGAUAGCGAACAAGUACCGUGAGGGAAAGAUGAAAAGAACUUUGAAAAGAGAGUUAAACAGUACGUGAAAUUGUCAAAAGGGAAGCGUUUGGACACCAGUGUUGUUUUUCUGAAAAUCAAUUAAAGAACUGUUUAUGCUAAGCUGUUUAGACUUUAUCAGCUAUCUGUUUAGUUUUGAGCUUUUCUUUAAUGCACUUUUCAGUUAACAAGUCAACAUCAAUUUCUUUUGCUGUAAAAAAGCUUGAGGAAGGUGGCUUGAGAUUCGUCUUAAGUGUUUAUAGCCUCUUGCCUAUGCAGUCGGAGAGAUUGAGGUCUGCAGCGUAGAUCCUUCGGGGCUAAAUGCAUUUGUGCUAAGUUAUAGCAUUUUAUAGACAACUUGUUGACUAUGAUUUGUCUUGUAGCUUACUCGCUUAUGUUAUUUUACCUACGCUUAGGAUGUUGAGCGCAUGUCUCUCUCU